AAUUAUUUAGCUUAUAAAAAGCAUAUAUUUUGAAAAUAUAAGAAAGAUUUAAGAGUUUAAUAAUUU
rnacentral:tRNA from 1 species